AUUGAACGCUGGCGGCAGGCCUAACACAUGCAAGUCGAGCGGAUGAAGGGAGCUUGCUCCUGGAUUCAGCGGCGGACGGGUGUGUAAUGCCUAGGAAUCUGCCUGGUAGUGGGGGAUAACGUCCGGAAACGGGCGCUAAUACCGCAUACGUCCUGAGGGAGAAAGUGGGGGAUCUUCGGACCUCACGCUAUCAGAUGAGCCUAGGUCGGAUUAGCUAGUUGGUGGGGUAAAGGCCUACCAAGGCGACGAUCCGUAACUAGUCUGAGAGGAUGAUCAGUCACACUGGAACUGAGACACGGUCCAGACUCCUACGGGAGGCAGCAGUGGGGAAUAUUGGACAAUGGGCGAAAGCCUGAUCCAGCCAUGCCGCGUGUGUGAAGAAGGUCUUCGGAUUGUAAAGCACUUUAAGUUGGGAGGAAGGGCAGUAAGUUAAUACCUUGCUGUUUUGACGUUACCAACAGAAUAAGCACCGGCUAACUUCGUG
rnacentral:rRNA from 1 species